CAAUAGCGUAUAUUAAAGUUGUUGCAGUUAAAAAGCUCGUAGUUGGAUUUCUGGUCGGAAGCUCCUGUCCUCUGAUGAGCGUACAAGUGCGUCCUACCAUCCUUCUGUUAACCUUUAAGGCUUUCGCGGCUUUCUAGGGGCUCAGAUAUUUUACCUUGAGAAAAUUAAAGUGUUUCAGGCAGGCUAGCGCCGGAAUACAUUAGCAUGGAAUAAUGGAAUAGGACUUUUGCCUCUUCUGUUGGUCAUGAGGCUCGAGUAAUGAUUAAUAGGGAUAGUUGGGGGCAUUAGUACUUAACUGUCAGAGGUGAAAUUCUCGGAUUUGUUAAAGACUAACUUAUGCGAAAGCAUUUGCCAAGGAUGUUUNCAUUAA
rnacentral:rRNA from 1 species